GGAGGAUCCAAGCGUUAUCCGGAAUCAUUGGGUUUAAAGGGUCCGUAGGCGGUCUAGUAAGUCAGUGGUGAAAGCCCAUCGCUCAACGGUGGAACGGCCAUUGAUACUGCUAGACUUGAAUUAUUAGGAAGUAACUAGAAUAUGUAGUGUAGCGGUGAAAUGCUUAGAGAUUACAUGGAAUACCAAUUGCGAAGGCAGGUUACUACUAAUUGAUUGACGCUGAUGGACGAAAGCGUGGGUAGCGAACAGGAUUAGAUACCCUGGUAGUCCACGCCGUAAACGAUGGAUACUAGCUGUUGGGUGCAAACUCAGUGGCUAAGCGAAAGUGAUAAGUAUCCCACCUGGGGAGUACGUUCGCAAGAAUG
rnacentral:rRNA from 1 species